rnacentral:lncRNA from 1 species
GAGUACGACCGCCAGGCUGUGGGACCCGAGCGUUCCCUCGCGCAUCCGUGCCCACGCGCGCGCGGCGCCGGGGAUCUAAAGGCUUUAGGUGCGGGAACACACAGGGUGUCAUGAAAUUGGCCCCAGGAUAGGGUCCUGACGCGGCCCUGCGCGGGUGGUUUGGACGCUUACCAGCGUCAGCCGUGUCUGCCCAUUUUAAAGACGGGGGAAACAGGAUUUUACUGUCACGGAGAUCCACCUACCCCUCUGCCUCCCAGGUGCUGAGAUUAGAGUGCACCACCAUGUCCAGUCAGAAACCCCAAGUUUGACAGCAGCUUUUCUGUUUUAAAGAAGGCUCCAUCCACAGCCGGUGGCAAGAGAAGGUGUGUUUUGGUUUGCGUCAAAUCGACGUGAUGAAGUUGUCUGCACUAGACACACCAAGAGUCAGGGCUCAGUGGGGUGAGCUGAAGAUUAAACUACCCUUCCCAGCACAGGACUGUGGGAUGGAUUUCCUGGCUGCUGGCUCUCUUCUUGUCCAGGAGGACUGGGAAUUGGGAGCAGAGGAGAUGGCCCUACCUGAUGUCCCCAGCUAAGGCACUCAUGUCUACAAGGCCUGUGGGGUUUGUGGAAGCAGAAUUUACCCAGAUAGCCCAGGACAGCCCCAUUGCAGGCCAAGCCAAGCCGAGAACCCAGUGAGCCUGACAAUGGAUCCUUGGGCCAUCAGAAGCUUCCCAAGCACCACUUUGUCACUCAGUGAUCUCUUGGGACUGACCCUGGAGGGAGAUGCUGAUGUAUUGGAUUUGGUGGCCCUUGUAAUGACCCUCAGGAAGAAGAGAGCAUGUGAUGCCCACAGGGUAGAAGGAGGAAGUAGCUGGUGCUAGGCCAGCCAGGUCACUGGAUCCCCAUGAGUAUGCCUCAGAAGGGGCAGAACUGACACUGUGGGCUCUGAGCUUGAAGUGGAGGCUCAGGCCCUAGCUGACCUGUAGCUCCAGGGAGCCUGGGGGCCAAUCUACUAGGCUUCCAGUGCCUCGCCUCAGUUACCUAUGCAGGGAAGAGUGUGGAGGAAGUGCUUGAUAAAUGUUUGCAGAUGAAGAGCAGAAGUCUGUUUCUGGCUGACUCAAAACCACUGUAUCUUUUUUUCCCUUCUGGCCUGAUGAGCCUGAAGAGGUGGUCAGUGGUUGACUAGCCACUCUGCCCGGAAGUCUCCCGCAGGCACGGAUUACCAUGCUAUGCCCAUGUAUGGCCACCAGAGGUCGCCCCACACCGCCGGCAGCAGAAAGCUGUUGGGUUGGUAGACUCAUAGAAGGGGGACAGGAUGGUUGGGACAGGGCUGAGGAAUUUACCAACAGAGUUCUGGGCUCCUCAGGUGGGCCUACUCCUACUUGACAUCAUGAACUUAUCUUCUGUCGCAGCAGGCCCAGAUGGGUCCGGCUCACCUGGAUGAUGUGAAGGUGGAACUGGGUAGUGCUGGUGCCCCAGCUUAGUAAGUAUGGCUCAGGCCCUGCACUUCUGGAGCUCCAAGCCCUAGAGCCAGGGUUAGUGCCAGGAACAUUGGUCCUAGGGAGAGGGGAGGGAACAAGCUGUGUUGGGUCUUGCAAGCCAGGGUGGAGAGCUGCUGUUAUCAAGACAUAUGGGGAACUUUGGUCUGGGGGUUUACUCCCAGGUCAUCAGGCUCAGGGUACAAAUGAGGGCUUUGGUGAAGAGGUAGCUGUUCUCCAGUGCCUGCAGCAUGGCUUGCAGCCCAGCUCCAUUUUGGGCUGGCAGGGCAGGUUCUUACUGGUCUGGGGCCUGAGUUCUCCAUCCCCAUUCUGUUGCCUUUCUGCCUUUAAGACUCCCUGUCCACCGCUCCAGGGUUUCCCUCCUGCCCAUAACAUGAGUCUCACCCCAUCCAUCAUGGCUCUGCCCAUCCCUUACUCAAAGCAUUUUCGACUGAAAAGCUGGGACCCUCCUCACUUCCCUGGGGCCUGCCAAACCCCUCUAUUCCAAUGAGAUUAUUCGUGUAUACACGAAUAAUCUGGCCCUGGGGCCAGUGCUUCCUUGGAGGUCUCCCUUCCUCCAUGUUCCCUGGCACCUCCGCCCAGGAGCUUACUGUUCACACUAGCUGGGUUUACAGUCAAGGCUCUGGCUGCUUCGGGAUAGGAGUGGCCCACACCAACCAUUCCAGGACCCAGCAGCACAUGUGGCUUUUAGCAAGGUGAGAUGGGAGGAAGAAGGAAGAGUGUGGGGGAGACCACAGGGGGGUCCAGAGAGCCUGGAGAAGCAGCUGUGGUUCUGUUCUGAACAUUGGAUUCACUCAGAUAAGAGGCAGAGAGAUGGUCUCUGGUCAGGCACAGGCUCACCCCAGCCUGCCUGCUGGGCUGACUCUGUUGCUAGGAAUCCUGGUCAACCUCACGGAUGCUGACCCAUCAGACAUGAGAUGCACAGAGCAGGCUGUGCAUCCCAUCCUGCGAAGGAACAGCACUGUGUGUUUAACGUUCCAGGUUCCUCUAUGGUUGAUCUGUGAGUUCAGGGACCCCCUCCCCCAUGCCUCAAACAGCUAAGUGUUGAAUGACAGCGGUGUCCACAGCCUUAAGCUUGGUAAGGGACCCAUACAAAACAGAAGGUUCCUCUGCUUCUCCAAGUCCUCAAAGCCAGAAGAUUCUGUCCUCAGUGUGGUCAAGGAAGACUGGAGAAGUUUCACACAGGGCUCCUGCUGGGACUGUAAGCCUGUACUUCUGUCCAGCACCCCUAGUUCUGCCAGCUGUCCUUCCGGAGUCCCCUUUAGAGUCCUGUACCCAGACCACCCACCCAUCUACACCUCCAUCUUUCAUCCCUCAAUCCCCCAUCCUUCCAUCCACUCAUCCCUUUAUCUAUCCAUCCAUCCCUCCAUUCUUCUCACACACUUAUCUGUCCAUCUGUCCUUCCAUCCACCCAUCCCUCCACCUGUCUAGCCACCCACUAUCAUUCUUUUACUCACUUGCUCAUUAGUUACAAUACAUAUUGUUAGUUAGUUAGUUAGUUAGGUUUUUCAAGACACUGUGGCUGCCAGUCCUGAAACACUCUCUGUAGACCAGGCUAGCCUAGAACUUAAAGAUCUGCCUGCCUCUGCCUCCCAAAUGCAGGGAUCAAAGGCCUGGCUACAUGUUUAUUUGUUAGUGACAGGGAGGGACUAGUGCUUUAGUCCAGGCUGCCCUGGAAAUCACUAUGUAGCCUAGGCUGGCCUUAAAUUCCUGACAGUCCUGCUUGAGCUUCCUAAGUGCUGGCAUAUGUGUGAGGAAGUGCACGUGGCUUGCACAUGCAUUGUGUAUGUGGCACCCUGCGCCAGGCACUGGGGAUGCACAGAGCACACAGUCCGAGCCCUCCUCAGUUACAGAGUAACUAAGGAGCAGCAGAUGCACGUGCCAUGGUGGAAGAACACAAGGCACAGGAGGACACAGAAUCACUGGGCAGGUGUCAGUAUUGCAGGGGACAGGUAGAGUGGGGCCUGUCAGACUCUUUCUGUAUCCCUGAGCCACUAGCUCACAGUGAGAGCCUCACCUCCAGCCUGCUCCACUCCGGUGUGUCACAAGAUGUCCGCGAGUUAUUUCCUCCACGAUGCUAAGGUUCUCAUGCAGUCUCCCUGGCCUGUUACACGAGGCUGUUCUAAGGCUAGGACACAUAGCUGGGGGUACUGCUUGGUCAGUAGCAAAACCCCUACAUGGGUAUGCAUGUUCUGGGGGCAUCUGUCUCAGCUCAAGAUGAAAGGUCAGGGUCUGAUCCGAGCUCCCUGUGGUCUCUGUCACUGGUCAGGGGUGUGCAUUGGCCACCCUGCCUUUUCCUGAUUUAGUUUUGUAGAACUUAGGUGGUAAUGGAGGAAUGGAGCCUGAGGCUCCACACCGGCCCUGACCCAAAUCCAUGAGCCCUAGCAAUGUGGACAUCCUUAAACAUUCAUGGCCACCUCUUCCUGGCUCCCAUAGUCUUCCUGAGGCAGGAGGAUGAUCCCUGUUCUACAAAUGAGGUCACAGAGGUGCAGGGAGCUUGUUCCAGCUGGCAGCAGCCACCUGAGCAGUUUUGAGCUGGGCUCUGGGGUCCCAGGCUGACUACCUGAAUCCUGCUCUGCCUGAUAAGCACUGGGCCUGACUCCUCACCUGUAAGAGAGAGGCAAGCGAAGGCAGCAGCAUCCCAGAAUGGACAGAAGGGCCAACCCGACCCAGGGGACAGAAUGCUCAGCACGGAGUCCAGCGCAUCCCGGCUCCAAGAGUCUAGAAGUCUUAUUAAUAAUAAUACAAACCUUCUGCCCUGUGGCUCGCUCUCACCCCACCCCCACCAUCUUUCUAAGGAUUGAAGACAGCAGCUGGCAGUGGGAGGUGGUUUCUUUAAAUACAGGAUGAGGAGAACAAAGGAAAAAUAGAACAGGGGGGUGGUUUGUGGCCUACGCCAACUAUCCCCCUCCAAACGUGGGGGGGCCCUAGGGUCCCAAGCCACCAACCAGCCUCCCCCAGCCUCUGUGUGUCCCCAAGGCUCUUGAGGAAGUGAGGGGUGCUGUGCAUUAGGCUUGCCUGCUGGGACAGGACAGUCCUGGUUUGGACCAGGAUGCCACCACGGGAGGAGACACUUCCUGCCUGGCUAUAAGGUUGGCCCCUGAGAAGCAGGAAGUAGGUUGAGCUCCUGGGGUUUCUCUGCCUACUUCCAAGACAACAUGGAGUAUUUACUAGAAGGUUCUCUGUAGGCCCCUUGAACUUCAAAGGCUAUACCCCUCUAGCUGCCUACUCUCCUUGGUUGCCAUGGAUCCUGUGACCAAGUCCUUGCCAUCUGCUUCUUUAGGCCAGUCCCUUAGAGCCCUCCACUCUCCUGAGAACCUGUGCCUCUUGGUCUUUGUGGUGCCCAUGGGGUACUAGAUGCCAUUCUCUGAGAUGGCUGGUACUGUCACUGCUCCUCCAGGAAGGGUACUGGCACUGGGCUUCGAACUGUGUGUGACUCAGAGGGGACCGAGGUGUUCCCUGCACCACAGACGACGUCGGAGAACUACAACGCAGGUGGAUGUGCCUUCUCUGAGGGCAGAAGUAGCUAAGCAAUAGGUGAGCCAGGACCAUGCCUGGAAUGUGGAGCCCCUCAGGACAGAGGUAAACAGAAGCGCUGAGAAUGAGCAGGAGCCAGGAGGACCCUGAACCUGGCAGCCUAGGCCUGGUCCUGGCUGGAAUUGCAUCCUGGCUAGAUCUUGGGCUAACUAGUCACUCUCUGAGCUUUAGUUCCUCUACUUGUAGAUGAGGGAAGGCAAUUCUUGAUUCAAAGGUCUACUGAGGAUUACAUGACAUGUCACAAGGGAGGAAGCCCAGGGGCUGUCAAAUGCAAGACUUUCACAGAGGAAGAACUUUCCCCCAGAAAAUGCUAAGGCCCAGUUGGGUGCG